rnacentral:lncRNA from 1 species
GGAAGUCAUCCCUUUUCUCUUGCUGUUCCUCAUCCUCUCUGUGGAGCCACCAUGUGAGCCCAAGAAGACAGGAUGCCUUCCACCAGUGUCCACCAUAAGGUUUGGACUCAACUCCACACUUCAGACUAACUGGAAUUCACCCUGACCUCAGAGCCACAGCAGGAAGAUGAGGCCCUUUCAUGACAACACUCACUGCACAGUUAACCUUCCUAAGAGGGAAACACAGAAUGGAAAAAUUGGAGCCCAGUGAAACCAGGGUGAAAAGCAUGGAGGAAUGAGAGACCACUAAGUGGUCUUGGUCCUGAGAGCCUGUAUCCAGGGCAGAGUGGAAGACUAUACCUGUGGGAGAGGAGACAGCUGCUGCUGAUUUCCCUCAUUUCCCAUGGCUGGUUACCAAGAAGAAAUGUGAGCUCCCGGCUGCCAGGCCUGCUGGAGUUUUCAAAGGAUGCCCUUGGUGUGCAAUUUAUAUUACAUCGCCCACAUUUGAGAUGUUGAACACCCAUUUAGAAAAUAGUUUUGAUAGUGUGAGCAAGCCAAGCUCAAAUGAAGUUCACCCACUUGGAACCUUUGGUAAACAAUCUUUUUUAGGUGGUUACAUCCAUGAGCUCAUACACGUUCUACAGAUCCUCCAAACCAAGAACCAAAACCAAGAAAUGGUAUAUGAGAAGAACAAAGUCGACGCUCAAAAUGUGACCUUUGCUGUGGGUCAUCUCUCACCCACUACUACUCUGUGCUCUGGUUUCCUCUCCUAUAUAUAAAAGACUUCCAUUAAAUGGCUAACAAAAUAUUUCCCAUCCAGAAAGUUCAGUAAUGUUAGCACAAUGGCUUUAGAAUAUGUGAAUAAAAAUGAUGUUGUCCUACAUAGAUGUCAUUAAUGAGGACUGUUGUUGGUCUAGGUGGCUGUGCUUUUUUUCUUUGCAUUCCUAUUGUAUUUGUUGAUGUUCUUUGUCAUUGGGCCAUACUCUUAGCCACUGUGUUGUAUUACAAGCAUCUGUGGAAAGAACAAUGCUAUUGAACUAUUUAUCUGCUACUUACAGCAUUUCAAAAAGCAACACAAAAGUCACUUUAG